rnacentral:piRNA from 1 species
UGCUAGUCACCCCCUCGCAUGUCAGUCC